UCUCAGCUAUGCUGGGUUCGGGGCCGCCAGCGACGCCAUUUUGUAUCACGGCCGGCGGGGCGCCUGUGCGUCAGAGAGGGAGCGAGCGAGCUGGGCGCCAUUUCCCCGCCAGUUCGGGGAGAAAGACGCUGCAAAUUUUCAAGCCUCCCUCCUCUGUCCCGAAGGCUCUCUCAGAUAAGGCGACAAAAAAAAAAA